rnacentral:rRNA from 1 species
GCUUACGGCCAUAUCAGCCUGGGUACGCCGGAUCUCGUCUGAUCUCGGAAGCUAAGCAGGGUCGGGCCUGGUUAGUACUUGGAUGGGAGACCGCCUGGGAAUACCAGGUGCUGUAAGCA